UUUUCGUAUGUGGAUAUACAAAAUAUCAGCUGUUCAAAUCACAAUGUCCACGUUCACGAGGUUUUCGACAAAGCCCCCAACCAAACCAAAUGUAUAGAUUCAGCAGUUGCGGGGAUUUUUGUAUACACAUUUGGACGACCAAGCUUUUUGUGAAGCCAUUUAGCUGCCUUAACUAUCUUCUUUGUGUUAUCAGCCAACCAUGGUGAAACUUGUACGGAGACAUAGCCAUCUAAACCAGUUGUUUCCUUGUAGAUUGGUUUUAAGAUCACACUCGUGUCCCUUAUGUCUUUUGUUACAAGUUCCCAGUAUGCACAUUCAACGUCUUUUCCUUCUUUCGUUAGAUCUCUAUCCAUGGAAUUCAGAUCAAAACAAACAAAACAAAUUUGUACAACAAAACUCUCAGCAACUCUUUGCUUCCAUACAUCAAUGUAUUGAGAUAAGGAAAGGUGACUAUACCUGAACUGCUCGUCGUAAGCUUUGGAUGACAAUAUCGAUCGCUCAAAUAUCUGUCAUUGGGAAUCAUAAGGUUCAAGCAAUGAGAGUGAAAGAUUAGAAAACAGAGAGGGAUUUUGACUACCUUAGGAUUGGAAGUAACACCUAUAAUUCCAGAUGCUAACAAGGGAAGAAGUUCAGUGGCAGGGCGGCAGAUUUUAUCAUAAUACCUUGGCCUUGCCGUUUAUGAAGGACGUGAAGAAUGGAUUUUCUGAACCCAUUUUUUGAACAAGCAACAAAACUGCUUUGAUUCAUCAGCAAGUUGCUGAAGGAAGCCAUCACAGCCUGAGAGAUGUUGAUCUUCAAAGGAGAAAUCAAACCCAUUUCCCAUUCCAAUGUAUAUACGGAGUGCUUCACAUUACAACCUAGAAUUUUUCCAAGAUUUGCUGGAAAUCUUGUAUUAUAAUUUACAUGUUUAUAUAUAAAUAUCACACCUUUCACGAUCA